rnacentral:rRNA from 1 species
UACAGAGGGUGCAAGCGUUAUCCGGAUUCACUGGGUUUAAAGGGUGCGUAGGAGGGCAGGUAAGUCAGCGGUGAAAUCCCCGAGCUUAACUUGGGAACUGCCAUUGAUACUAUCUGUCUUGAAUAUUGUGGAGGUGAGCGGAAUAUGUCAUGUAGCGGUGAAAUGCUUAGAUAUGACAUAGAACACCAAUUGCGAAGGCAGCUCGCUACACAAAUAUUGACUCUGAGGCACGAAAGCGUGGGGAUCAAACAGG